AGUGAACGCUGGCGGUAGGCCUAACACAUGCAAGUCGAACGGCAGCACAGUAAGAGCUUGCUCUUACGGGUGGCGAGUGGCGGACGGGUGAGGAAUACAUCGGAAUCUACUUUUUCGUGGGGGAUAACGUAGGGAAACUUACGCUAAUACCGCAUACGACCUACGGGUGAAAGCAGGGGAUCUUCGGACCUUGCGCGAUUGAAUGAGCCGAUGUCGGAUUAGCUAGUUGGCGGGGUAAAGGCCCACCAAGGCGACGAUCCGUAGCUGGUCUGAGAGGAUGAUCAGCCACACUAGAACUGAGACACGGUCCAGACUCCUACGGGAGGCAGCGGUGGGGAAUAUUGGACAAUGGGCGCAAGCCUGAUCCAGCCAUACCGCGUGGGUGAAGAAGGCCUUCGGGUUGUAAAGCCCUUUUGUUGGGAAAGAAAAGCAGCAGGUUAAUACCCCGCUGUUCUGACGGUACCCAAAGAAUAAGCACCGGCUAACUUCGUG
rnacentral:rRNA from 1 species